UCGGAGAUAGCUCAGUUAGUUAGAGUGCAUCCUUUCCAAGGUUGAAGUCGUAGGUGCAAAUCCUACUCUCCGCUCAA
rnacentral:tRNA from 1 species